rnacentral:ncRNA from 1 species
GUACCGUAUGGGUACAGGAGGUGAAAAGGGAAUACGGUGCGAACCCGUAACGAUACCAGUCGCUGUAUGUGCUUUGCCUUGUUUAUGGACGAAAGUCGGUCAUUGGGAAACUGAGAAGGCGAAACAGGGCUUAUAGCACGAGUCAGAAGACCUGCUUUGAU